UACGGAGGGUGCGAGCGUUGUCCGGAAUCAUUGGGCGUAAAGGGCGCGUAGGUGGCCUUCUAAGCGUGCGGUGAAAGCCUGGGGCUCAACCCCGGGUCGGCCGUGCGAACUGGGGGGCUUGAGCACUGUAGAGGCAGGCGGAAUUCCGGGUGUAGCGGUGAAAUGCGCAGAUAUCAGGAAGAACACCCGUGGCGAAGGCGGUUCUCUGGGACGGUACUGACGCUGAGACGCGAAAGCGUGGGGAGCGAACAGG
rnacentral:rRNA from 1 species